UACGAAGGGGGCUAGCGUUGUUCGGAAUUACUGGGCGUAAAGCGCGCGCAGGCGGUCUUCCAAGUCAGUGGUGAAAGCCCGGAGCUCAACUCCGGAAUUGCCAUUGAAACUGUGAGACUGGAGUACGAGAGAGGUGAGUGGAAUUCCCAGUGUAGAGGUGAAAUUCGUAGAUAUUCGCAAGAACACCAGUGGCGAAGGCGGCUCACUGGCCCAUUACUGACGCUGAGGCACGAAAGCGUGGGGAG
rnacentral:rRNA from 1 species